UCCGUAGGGUGCGAGCGUUACUCGGAAUUACUGGGCGUAACGCGUGCGCAGGCGGUGAUGUAAGACAGAUGUGAAAUCCCCGGGCUCAACCUGGGAACUGCAUUUGUGACUGCAUCGCUGGAGUGCGGCAGAGGGGGAUGGAAUUCCGCGUGUAGCAGUGAAAUGCGUAGAUAUGCGGAGGAACACCGAUGGCGAAGGCAAUCCCCUGGGCCUGCACUGACGCUCAUGCACGAAAGCGUGGGGAGCAAACAGG
rnacentral:rRNA from 1 species